AUUGAACGCCGGCGGCAGGCCUAACACAUGCAAGUCGGACGGUAGCACAGAGAGCUUGCUCUUGGGUGACGAGUGGCGGACGGGUGAGUAAUGUCUGGGGAUCUGCCCGAUAGAGGGGGAUAACCACUGGAAACGGUGGCUAAUACCGCAUAACGUCGCAAGACCAAAGAGGGGGACCUUCGGGCCUCUCACUAUCGGAUGAACCCAGAUGGGAUUAGCUAGUAGGCGGGGUAAUGGCCCACCUAGGCGACGAUCCCUAGCUGGUCUGAGAGGAUGACCAGCCACACUGGAACUGAGACACGGUCCAGACUCCUACGGGAGGCAGCAGUGGGGAAUAUUGCACAAUGGGCGCAAGCCUGAUGCAGCCAUGCCGCGUGUAUGAAGAAGGCCUUCGGGUUGUAAAGUACUUUCAGCGGGGAGGAAGGCGGUGAGGUUAAUAACCUUGCCGAUUGACGUUACCCGCAGAAGAAGCACCGGCUAACUCCGUGCCAGCCGCCGCUGUAAAAC
rnacentral:rRNA from 1 species